rnacentral:tRNA from 1 species
GCUUUUAUAGUUGAAUUACAAUGUGGAUUUUUCGUGUCCUUGGUUUUGGAUAUACCCGAAUAAAAGUA